rnacentral:rRNA from 1 species
CCUACGGGAGGCUGCAGUGAGGAAUAUUGGUCAAUGGGCGCUAGCCUGAACCAGCCAAGUAGCGUGAAGGAUGACUGCCCUAUGGGUUGUAAACUUCUUUUAUAUGGGAAUAAAGUGCAGUAUGUAUACUGCUUUGCAUGUACCUUAUGAAUAAGGCUCGGCUAACUCCGUGCCAGCAGCCGCGGUAAUGCGGAGGAUACGAGCGUUAUCCGGAUUUAUUGGGUUUAAAGUGAGCGUAGGCGGGUUGUUAAGUCAGUUGUGAAAGUUUGCGGCUCAACCGUAAAAUUGCAGUUGAUACUGGCAUCCUUGAGUGCAGUAGAGGUAGGCGGAAUUCGUGGUGUAGCGGUGAAAUGCUUAGAUAUCACGAAGAACUCCGAUUGCGAAGGCAGCCUGCUGGACUGUAACUGACGCUGAUGCUCGAAAGUGUGGGUAGCAAACAGGAUUAGAUACCCUGGUAGUC